rnacentral:rRNA from 1 species
GAUGGGGAGCGAAAUUUAGUAGCGAAGUAGCUGAUUUCACACUGUCAAGAAAAGUCUCUAUCGAGGUUAAAGGUACCCGUACCGCAAACCGACACAGGUGGGUGAGGAGAGUAUCCUAAGGCCAGCGAGAGAACUGUUGUUAAGGAACUCGGCAAAAUGACCCCGUAACUUAGGGAUAAGGGGUGCCACCAUCCGGUGGCCGCAGAGAAUAGGCCCAAGCGACUGUUUACCAAAAACAUAGGUUUCUGCUAAGUCGCAAGACGAUGUAUAGGAGCUGACGCCUGCCCGGUGCUGGAAGGUUAAGGGGAUCUGUUAGAGCAAUCGAAGCAGUGAACUUAAGCC